rnacentral:rRNA from 1 species
UGGGGAAUUUUGGACAAUGGGGGAAACCCUGAUCCAGCCAUCCCGCGUGUGCGAUGAAGGCCUUCGGGUUGUAAAGCACUUUUGGCAGGAAAGAAACGUCGCGGGUUAAUACCCCGCGAAACUGACGGUACCUGCAGAAUAAGCACCGGCUAACUACGUGCCAGCAGCCGCGGUAAUACGUAGGGUGCAAGCGUUAAUCGGAAUUACUGGGCGUAAAGCGUGCGCAGGCGGUUCGGAAAGAAAGAUGUGAAAUCCCAGAGCUUAACUUUGGAACUGCAUUUUUAACUACCGGGCUAGAGUGUGUCAGGGGGAGGUGGAAUUCCGCGUGUAGCAGUGAAAUGCGUAGAUAUGCGGAGGAACACCGAUGGCGAAGGCAGCCUCCUGGGAUAACACUGACGCUCAUGCACGAAAGCGUGGGGAGCAAACAGGAUUAGAUACCCUGGUAGUCCACGCCCUAAACGAUGUCAACUAGCUGUUGGGGCCUUCGGGCCUUGGUAGCGCAGCUAACGCGUGAAGUUGACCGCCUGGGGAGUACGGUCGCAAGAUUAAAACUCAAAGGAAUUGACGGGGUCAUAGCUGUUUCCU